rnacentral:pre_miRNA from 1 species
CAUAUACUCCCUUCGUCCUAAAAUUAUUGUCUUAGAUUUGUGUAGAUAUAAAUGUAUGUAGUCACGUUUUAGUAUUUAAAUACAUCCUUUUCUAGACAAACCUAAAACAAGAAUUUUGAGACAAAGAGAGUAUAAG